rfam:Vigna angularis cultivar Jingnong 6 C2866605_1, whole genome shotgun sequence.
GGCCAUUUUUGGUAAGCAGAACUGGCGAUGCGGGAUGAACCGGAAGCUGGGUUACGGUGCCCAACUGCGCGCUAACCUAGACCCCACCAAGGGUGUUGGUCGAUUAAGACAGCAGGACGGUGGUCAUGGAAGUCGAAAUCCGGUAAGGAGUGUGUAACAACUCACCUGCCGAAUCAACUAGCCCCGAAAAUGGAUGGCGCUAAAGCGCGCGACCUAUACCCGGCCGUCGG